UACGGAGGGUGCAAGCAUUAAUCGGAUUUAUUGGGCGUAAAGGGCGCGUAGGCGGGGAGACAAGUCAGAUGUGAAAUCCCGGAGCUCAACUCCGGAAUAGCAUUUGAAACUGUUUCUCUAGAGGAUAGGCGGAGAAAAUAGAAUUCCACAAGUAGCGGUGAAAUGCGUAGAUAUGUGGAAGAAUACCGGUGGCGAAGGCGAUUUUCUAGCUUAUACCUGACGCUGAGGCGCGAAAGCAAGGGGAUCAAACAGG
rnacentral:rRNA from 1 species